GGAGAAAUAGUUUUUUGGCGAACAGCCGUGGAUGACCAUGCAGAGGAUCCAGGAUCAGUUCCUAGUACCCACUUGAUAGCUCAGGAACAUCUGUAACUCUAGUUCCAGAGGUUCUGAUGCCCUCUGCUGACCUCUGGGCAUCUGGCAUAUACGUGGUAUACAGACAUACAUGCAGACAAAACACCCAUACACAUAAAAUAAUAAUAAUUAAAAAAAUGUUAUAUGCCUUGUUCUUAGCUUAGAACCUCCAAGUAGACUUGGGUGGAGAAUUAGAGAGAAUGAUUUCAAAAAACCUUGGGGUCACCAGCAUCAUUCGGAGCAGAAGGAAUAUGGCGUCCGCUACUCGUGCUAUCUAAAAGCAGCGGAACUGGGCAUCUGGGGACCCAGCCACCUCCUAAAUUCCCUGUGGGUCCUAGUCACAAGCUGUCCAACAAUUACUACUGUACUCGUGAUGGCCGCCGGGAUGUUGUGCCUCCCUCAAUCAUCAUGUCCUCACGAAAGGCCCUGAUGUCAGGCAAGACAGUUGAGAGUUCUGCUAUGGCAGCCACUGAGAAGAAGGCAGUGACACCCGCUCCUCCCAUGAAGAGGUGGGAGCUGUCCAAGGACCAGCCAUACCUGUGACCCUACCCUAGGUUACCUUGCUAUAUGUCUCUAGGGCCACAUGACUGCUUUUCCUCCUUGGAUUUCCUCUGGGGAGAGUGUGACCUAAUUUAUAACAAAUACUUAGAGUUCCACAUUAAAAACAAACCAAAACCAAACUUUGGGCUGGGCUGUGGAGAUGGCCCAGUGGGUAAAGGGUGAAGACACUUGCUGCCAAGCGUGAGUUCAACCUGGAACUCACACGGUGGAAGGAGAGUACCAUGUCCCACAUGUUGUCCUCUGACCUCUGUAUGCAAUUUGCAUGUGUACCUCACUGUACACACACACAAUGAAUGGAUGUAAUAAAAGCCAAAUGAAGGGC